GACGAACGCUGGCGGCGUGCUUAACACAUGCAAGUCGAACGGAAAGGCCCUGCUUGCCGGGUGCUCGAGUGGCGAACGGGUGAGUAACACGUGGGUGAUCUGCCCCUUACUUUGGGAUAAGCCCGGGAAACUGGGUCUAAUACUGGAUAGGACCAUGCUGUAGGUGGUGUGGUGGAAAGAUUAGUUUCGGUAAGGGAUGAGCUCGCGGCCUAUCAGCUUGUUGGUGGGGUAAUGGCCUACCAAGGCGUCGACGGGUAGCCGGCCUGAGAGGGUGGACGGCCACAUUGGGACUGAGAUACGGCCCAGACUCCUACGGGAGGCAGCAGUGGGGAAUAGUGCACAAUGGGCGCAAGCCUGAUGCAGCGACGCCGCGUGGGGGAUGACGGCCUUCGGGUUGUAAACUCCUUUCAGCCAUGACGAAGCCCUUGUGGUGACGGUAGUGGUAGAAGAAGCACCGGCUAACUACGUG
rnacentral:rRNA from 1 species